AUUGAACGCUGGUGGAAUGCUUUACACAUGCAAGUCGAGCGGCAGCGCGGGGCAACCUGGCGGCGAGCGGCGAACGGGUGAGUAAUGCAUCGGAACAUGUCCAUGUCGUGGGGGAUAGCCCGGCGAAAGCCGGCUUAAUACCGCAUACGCUCGAGAGAGGAAAGCCGGGGACCGCAAGGCCUGGCGCGAUUGGGUUGGCCGAUGUCCGAUUAGCUAGUUGGUGGGGUAAAGGCCUACCAAGGCGACGAUCUGUAGCGGGUCUGAGAGGAUGAUCCGCCACACUGGGACUGAGACACGGCCCAGACUCCUACGGGAGGCAGCAGUGGGGAAUAUUGGACAAUGGGGGGAACCCUGAUCCAGCCAUGCCGCGUGUGUGAAGAAGGCCUUAUGGUUGUAAAGCACUUUAAGCGAGGAGGAGGCUCUUUUGGUUAAUACCCAAGAUGAGUGGACGUUACUCGCAGAAUAAGCACCGGCUAACUCUGUGCCAGCCGCCGCGGUAAGAC
rnacentral:rRNA from 1 species